CGAAACCGGGCGGAAACACUUUAGGCAUUUUGUUCUCCCUAGACUCAACGUUACUGGCUGUGAAUGGCUGUGUACAAAUGUAAGUUUAUGAAGAUAUGAAUUUAGAGGUAGAUGCGUAGACUAUAUGGAUACUUUCAAGUCAGCAGUACAAAAAAUAUAAAGUAACAAAACUUUUUCCUGUUUCCGCCCGGUCUCGAACCGGGGACCUUUCGCGUGUUAGGCGAACGUGAUAACCACUACACUACGGAAACUCAGUGACUGACCCAUAGAAUAAUAGCUACACAUCAUUACGACAAAUAACGGAUACAGUUGUAAGAUUGACUAAUUAUUUGACUAUGCCCGUAUUAUUUCGUUUUGUAUUUCACCUAUCUAUUCCAUUGAACAUCAUUAAUUUACAACAGAUAGUGGAUUACUGUAUAGAUUGGAUAGACCUGACAUGUAGUCGUCGAAGAAGUCGGAGGUGACAGACAGCGGAGCGUCGAAAGGAGACCACAAACACGUUUUCGGAGAUAGAUGACAAUUAUUUUCAUCCGUCAAUAAGUUAACUUUUCAAUUUGAAAAGAAAUCAUGAAUACCAUCAGCCUCUUUCCCGGAAAGAUGACGGUGACAUUUAGGAAGGGACCAUCGGGUCAUCUGCGGCAGGACCCAUCCUCUGAGGCCACGAGGAUAAAACACAAUCCUGGGCUUCAGGUCAAGAUUCCCAGAAACAUGACCUAGUGAAGACCAGUGCUCGCACUGUGGUCUUCCAGCGAGGAGGGGAUGUGUCGGACCGACAGGAGGUGAUGGGAGAGUACCUGCUGCAGUUCGGAAAGUACCAGAGAAAAUCUUUCAAGUGGCUCCUAGAGAACGAUGUUGGCUACACCAUGUACCUUAUGAAAAAGGUAGAUGAGGAGGAGAGAGCCGGGACCUUCAACCCAAAGGGACACAGUAAGGACACCUGCUGUCUUUUCUGGACUAUGCCAGGAGCUUCCAGGAAAUCCAGGACCUGAGGAACUACCUGAUCUCCAGGAAGCCUACUGAACCAGUGGCGUCAGAGCGGGACAAUAUUGUCGGCUUGGGUUGCAGGGCCAAAAAUGGAGUUCCAGCAGUCUGACUUUUUUGAGGCAGAAAGAGGCCGAUGGGUUUCAGAAAAGAGGAGUUGAGGAG
ensembl:lncRNA